rnacentral:rRNA from 1 species
GUAGCAAUACCUAGUGGCGGACGGGUGAGUAACGCGUGGGAAUCUGCCUUUAGAUGGGGGAUAACGGGUCGAAAGACUCGCUAAUACCGCAUAUGACGAAAGUUGAAAGGAGUAAUCCGUCUAAAGAUGAGCCCGCGUCCGAUUAGCUAGUUGGUAGAGUAAAAGCCUACCAAGGCGACGAUCGGUAGCUGGUCUGAGAGGAUGAUCAGCCACAAUGGGACUGAGACACGGCCCAUACUCCUACGGGAGGCAGCAGUGGGGAAUUUUACGCAAUGGGCGAAAGCCUGACGUAGCGACACCGCGUGAGCGAAGAAGCCCCUUGGGGCGUAAAGCUCUGUCAGCUGGAACGAAAAAAAUGACGGUACCAGCAGAGGAAGCAUCGGCUAACUACGUGCCAGCAGCCGCGGUAAGACGUAGGAUGCAAGCGUUGUCCGGAUUUAUUGGGCGUAAAGAGUUCGUAGGUGGUUUGUUAAGUUUGGUGUUAAAGAUUGGGGCUCGACCCUGAAACUGCACUGAAUACUGGCAGACUCGAGUGUGGUAGAGGCUAGUGGAAUUCCCAGUGUAGCGGUGAAAUGCGUAGAUAUUGGGAAGAACACCGGUGGCGUAGGCGACUAGCUGGGCCAUAACUGACACUGAGGAACGAAAGCCAGGGGAGCGAAUGGGAUUAGAUACCCCAGUAGUCCUGGCCGUAAACGAUGGAUACUAGGCGUAUCGGGUAUCGACCCCUGAUGUGCCGCAGCUAACGCGAUAAGUAUCCCGCCUGAGUAGUACGGCCGCAAGGUUGAAACUCAAAGGAAUUGACG